AUGGAUCCCUAGGGAUUGCUGGCCAGCCAGUAUAGCUGAAAUGGAGAAUGGUGGGUUCAGUCGGAGAUCCUGUCUCAAAAACUAAGGUGAAGAGGGUAGAGGAAGAGCAGAUCCUUAAGACAUGAAGUGGAAACAUUUGGGCAAACACAGCGAGGCUAAGGCCUUUGAACAUCAACAGCAUCUCAAUCAGUAAUGACAAUGCAGGCAUCCUCCAGUCACUGGAAGGCAUGAAUGACGCAAACAACCCGACUGUCCUCAGGAACAGAGGAUUCUUCCUUUCUGUGACAUCCUUAUGCCAGAGCCUUCCAUCGUGGAUUAAGGGCCAGCAGCUCUCCAGGGAUCCUCUAGGCUUCCAGUGACAGAUUGGAACUUGUGAGGCAUCCAUCCCAGUGGGCUGAGAAAGUCCCAGGUUCUCAGCUUCUCCAGUGUGCCCACAGCCACGUGGGACAACUCAACCCGUAUCAAGUAAGCCAGUCUGCGGCUGCCCGUGUCUGGAUCCACCACAUUUCCUUUGUGUGUUCGCUCCUUCAUCAGCUCAUGGAUGUUGGAUGGUUCUACAUACAUCUGGCCCAGGAAUGAUAAGAACAUUUACAUACAAGGCUGCAUGGAUGCAAGGCUGGCUUAAAUGUGCCUGGGAGAAGAAUCUCUGGGAACUCUGGGCAACAUUGUGAGGAACCACUAGACUCUUCCGAAUUUGCUGCACCAUUUUUACCACAAAGGCAGUUUUCAGUUCCCGUGUAGCCUGGCCAUUAGCUCUGGCUGUUAGCCAUCCUUAU
rnacentral:lncRNA from 1 species